rnacentral:rRNA from 1 species
UACGAAGGGGGCUAGCGUUGCUCGGAAUCACUGGGCGUAAAGGGUGCGUAGGCGGGUCUUUAAGUCAGGGGUGAAAUCCUGGAGCUCAACUCCAGAACUGCCUUUGAUACUGAAGAUCUUGAGUUCGGGAGAGGUGAGUGGAACUGCGAGUGUAGAGGUGAAAUUCGUAGAUAUUCGCAAGAACACCUGUGGCGAAGGCGGCUUUCUGGGCCUUACCUGACGCUGAGACGCGAAAGCGUGGGGAGCGAACCGG